UACGAAGGGGCUAGCGUUGCUCGGAAUCACUGGGCGUAAAGAGUGCGUAGGCGGGUCUUUUAAGUCAGGGUGAAAUCCUGGAGCUCAACUCCAGAACUGCCUUUGAUACUGAGGAUCUUGAGUUCGGGAGAGGUGAGUGGAACUGCGAGUGUAGAGGUGAAAUUCGUAGAUAUUCGCAAGAACACCAGUGGCGAAGGCGGCUCACUGGCCCGAUACUGACGCUGAGGCACGAAAGCGUGGGGAGCAAACAGGG
rnacentral:rRNA from 1 species